rnacentral:tRNA from 1 species
AGCAACAAGGCUAAGACUGUCUGGUGAUGUCACCGCCCUCAUAAGGCGAUGCUUAGUGGUUCGAUUCCACUUGUUGCUACCA